rnacentral:rRNA from 1 species
GACGAACGCUGGCGGCGUGCCUAAUACAUGCAAGUAGAACGCUGAAGAGAGGAGCUUGCUCUUCUUGGAUGAGUUGCGAACGGGUGAGUAACGCGUAGGUAACCUGCCUUGUAGCGGGGGAUAACUAUUGGAAACGAUAGCUAAUACCGCAUAACAAUGGAUGACACAUGUCAUUUAUUUGAAAGGGGCAAUUGCUCCACUACAAGAUGGACCUGCGUUGUAUUAGCUAGUAGGUGAGGUAACGGCUCACCUAGGCGACGAUACAUAGCCGACCUGAGAGGGUGAUCGGCCACACUGGGACUGAGACACGGCCCAGACUCCUACGGGAGGCAGCAGUAGGGAAUCUUCGGCAAUGGGGGCAACCCUGACCGAGCAACGCCGCGUGAGUGAAGAAGGUUGUCGGAUCGUAAAGCUCUGUUGUAAGUCAAGAACGAGUGUGAGAGUGGAAAGUUCACACUGUGACGGUAGCUUACCAGAAAGGGACGGCUAACAACGUG